rnacentral:rRNA from 1 species
ACUUUGAUUAUGGCUCGGGAUGAACGCUGGCGGCGUGCCUAACACAUGCAAGUCGAGCGAGAAGCUUAUGAUUGAAUCUUCGGAUGAUUGAUUAAGUGGAAAGCGGCGGACGGGUGAGUAACGCGUGGGUAACCUGCCCCAUACAAAGGGAUAGCCACUGGAAACGGUGAUUAAUACCAUAUGAGAUCGUAGAGUCGCAUGACUUAGCGGUUAAAGAUUUAUCGGUAUGGGAUGGACCCGCGUCUGAUUAGCUAGUUGGUAAGGUAACGGCUUACCAAGGCGACGAUCAGUAGCCGACCUGAGAGGGUGAUCGGCCACACUGGAACUGAGACACGGUCCAGACUCCUACGGGAGGCAGCAGUGGGGAAUAUUGCACAAUGGGCGCAAGCCUGAUGCAGCAACGCCGCGUGAGCGAUGAAGGCCUUCGGGUCGUAAAGCUCUGUCCUCAAGGAAGAAAAAAUGACGGUACUUGAGGAGGAAGCCCCGGCUAACUACGUGCCAGCAGCCGCGGUA